rnacentral:rRNA from 1 species
CUCAACGAUGGAUAUCUUGGUUCCCAUAACGAUGAAGAACGCAGCGAAGUGCGAUAAGCAGUGCGAAUUGCAGAACCGUGAGUCAUCAGAUCUUUGAACGCAAAUGGCGCUAGUUGGCUAUCCAGCUAGCAUGCUUGUUUCAG